AUUGAACGCUGGCGGAAUGCUUUACACAUGCAAGUCGAGCGGCAGCGCGGGGCAACCUGGCGGCGAGCGGCGAACGGGUGAGUAAUACAUCGGAACGUACCCAGUUGUGGGGGAUAGCCCGGCGAAAGCCGGAUUAAUACCGCAUACGACCUGAGGGUGAAAGGGGGGGAGUCGCAAGACCUCUCGCAGUUGGAGCGGCCGAUGGCGGAUUAGCUAGUUGGUAGGGUAAAGGCCUACCAAGGCGACGAUCCGUAGCUGGUCUGAGAGGACGACCAGCCACACUGGAACUGAGACACGGUCCAGACUCCUACGGGAGGCAGCAGUGGGGAAUUUUGGACAAUGGGGGCAACCCUGAUCCAGCCAUUCCGCGUGAGUGAAGAAGGCC
rnacentral:rRNA from 1 species